AUGUGCUCUGCGAAUAUCUGCGCAGCAGGGGAGGAGGGAGAACUGGAGGAAAACAUGAGGAAUGUUAAUAAACAGUCUGAUGGAGCUCUUCCAAAAUACCAAGCACAGUUAGGAGUGUUGGGGUACAGGUUUUGUAGUAAUUGGCAAAGUAAUUGGAUUGCAAAGGAAAUGGAAAGGGUCACAGAGCCAUGGCAAUGUUCUCUGAACAAUAAAGAACAGAUUAUGCUACAAACUCUGAGAAUGCAAAAGUGGACCUUUUCCCAACUUGACCCAACAUUCAGGAACCCUCUGCCCAUUUGAUCAUUCUCCACUGAAUUCUAGGAGAAAUCUAAGGGCAACAUCUCAUGACCUGGCAAUAAAGAGGAUGAAUCAGAAAGAAAGAGGAAGUAA
rnacentral:lncRNA from 1 species